GCGGUACGGUUGAAUGCGGGAACACAUUGGAACGACUGCUAAUACCGAAUGUGCCUUAGGGUGAAAGAUUUAUUGUCUAGAGAUUGGCUCGCGUCAGAUUAGCUAGUUGGAGUGGUAACGGCACACCAAGGCGACGAUCUGUACUUGGUCUGAGAGGAUGACCAGGCACACUGGAACUGAGACACGGUCCAGACUCCUACGGGAGGCAGCAGUGGGGAAUUUUCCGCAAUGGGCGAAAGCCUGACGGAGCAAUACCGCGUGAGGGAGGACGGCUUUUGGGUUGUAAACCUCUUUUAUCAGGGAAGAAUCGAUGACGGUACCUGAUGAAUCAGCAUCGGCUAACUCCGUGCCAGCAGCCGCGGUAAUACGGAGGAUGCAAGCGUUAUCCGGAAUUAUUGGGCGUAAAGCGUCCGUAGGUGGUUUAUCAAGUCUGCUGUCAAAGCGUGCGGCUUAACCGCAUAAGGGCAGUGGAAACUGAUGAACUAGAGUGCGAUAGGGGUAACAGGAAUUCCCAGUGUAGCGGUGAAAUGCGUAGAUAUUGGGAAGAACACCAGCGGCGAAAGCGUGUUACUGGGUCUGCACUGACACUGAGGGACGAAAGCUAGGGGAGCGAAUGGGAUUAGAUACCCCCGUUAGUCAAACGC
rnacentral:rRNA from 1 species